rnacentral:pre_miRNA from 1 species
UAAAGAAAAAUCUUGGCAACACAACUUUUAACAUGCUCUUUUGCACACAUUUUUUAUUAUUGGUUGAAAUUUAUUGAAAAUCACAAAUUUUAUGGAUCACACCUCUCAUUUAAUGACUCUUGUUCCUGAUUUUAUAGUUUUCAAUAAAUUUCAAUGAGAGAAUGUGUAUUAAGAGAAAUGUAUUAGAGAAUGUGUUGCUAACACUUCUCUUCUUUAA